rnacentral:tRNA from 1 species
GGGCCUGUGGUCUAGUGGCUACACAUCUAUCUGUGCCAUACAUGACAGCGCCCUUACAAGGCGUUGAUCCCCGGUUCGAACGAAGUGAGAACUGGGUCACGAACGAAGUGACUCGACCCGGUUCGAAACCGAAAGUCCGGGCAGGCCCACCA